UCGGAUGUAGCUCAAUGGUAGAGCCCCGCACUGUUAAUGCGGCCGUUGCCGGUUCGAGUCCAGCCAUCCGAGCCA
rnacentral:tRNA from 1 species